rnacentral:lncRNA from 1 species
GUCGGGAGUACAGUAAGACGAGUUUCUGAAGUCAUACAGUUUUUGUUUUCUUGUUUGCAGUAUUCUUAAGGGCUGAUUCAGUUUUUUUAUUUCUCAGUCUUGGUAAUAUGGAGAUGCAACAUUUUUAAACUGGGUCCCAAAUUUCGCUUUAAGAAAUUCGUGCGACUUCAAAAAUUCGGUAUGUUCAAUAACCACAGGUAAGUCAGAUUUAGAUUGUU